UACGUAGGAGGCAAGCGUUGUCCGGAAUUACUGGGCGUAAAGCGCGUGUAGGUGGUGGGACAAGUCUGCUGUGAAAGCGCCUGGCUUAACCGGGCGAGGUCGGCGGAAACUGUUCGACUCGAGGACGGUAGAGGGGGGUGGAAUUCCCGGUGUAGUGGUGAAAUGCGUAGAGAUCGGGAGGAACACCAGUGGCGAAGGCGGCUACCUGGACCAGCACUGACACUGAGGCACGAAAGCGUGGGGAGCAAACAGG
rnacentral:rRNA from 1 species